rnacentral:rRNA from 1 species
AGAGUUUGAUCCUGGCUCAGAACGAACGCUGGCGGCAGGCUUAACACAUGCAAGUUGAACGUGAUUUGCUGGGUGCUUGCACCGAGCAAUGAAAGUAGCGCACUGGUGAGUAACACGUGGGAACGUACCUUUUGGUGGGGAACAACAGUUGGAAACGACUGCUAAUACCGCAUAAGCCCUGAGGGGGAAAGAUUUAUCGCCGAAAGAACGGCCCGCGGAAGAUUAGGUAGUUGGUGGGGUAACGGCCUACCAAGCCGACGAUCUAUAGCUGGUCUGAGAGGACGAUCAGCCACAUUGGAACUGAGACACGGUCCAAACUCCUACGGGAGGCAGCAGUGAGGAAUAUUGGGCAAUGGAGGCAACUCUGACCCAGCCAUGCCGCGUGAGUGAAGAAGGUUUUCGGAUUGUAAAGCUCUUUCGGGUGUGACGAUGAUGACGGUAGCACCUAAAGAAGCCCCGGCUAACUUCGUGCCAGCAGCCGCGGUAAUACGAAGGGGGCAAGCGUUGUUCGGAAUUACUGGGCGUAAAGGGAGUGUAGGCGGUUAUGUAAGAUAGUGGUGAAAUCCCAGAGCUUAACUUUGGAAUUGCCAUUAUGACUAUGUGGCUAGAAUUACAGAGAGGAUAGUGGAAUACCCAGUGUAGAGGUGAAAUUCGUAGAUAUUGGGUAGAACACCAGUGGCGAAGGCGACUAUCUGGCUGUAUAUUGACGCUGAGGCUCGAAAGCAUGGGGAUCAAACAGGAUUAGAUACCCUGGUAGUCCAUGCUGUAAACGAUGAAUGCUAGUUGUCGGCAAAAGCCGGUGACGCAGUUAACGCGAUAAGCAUUCCGCCUGGGGAGUACGGUCGCAAGAUUAAAACUCAAAGGAAUUGACGGGGACCCG